GGCACGCUAGAUGCUUGAUCGUUUCCACGGCAGGCCAACGGCGGUCUCCGCUACACGACAAAGGCGUCGC
rfam:Pseudomonas sp. BAY1663 contig000001, whole genome shotgun sequence.